rnacentral:rRNA from 1 species
UACAGAGGGGGCGAGCGUUGUUCGGAAUUACUGGGCGUAAAGGGCGCGUAGGCGGCCUUCUAAGUCGAACGUGAAAUCCCUGGGCUCAACCCAGGAACUGCGUCCGAUACUGGUUGGCUUGAAUUCGGGAGAGGGAUGUGGAAUUCCAGGUGUAGCGGUGAAAUGCGUAGAUAUCUGGAGGAACACCGGUGGCGAAGGCGGCAUCCUGGACCGAUAUUGACGCUGAUGCGCGAAAGCCAGGGGAGCAAACGGG